rnacentral:rRNA from 1 species
GGGCUUGACAUCCCACGAACCUGCCCGAAAAGGUGGGGUGCCCGCAAGGGAGCGUGGAGACAGGUGGUGCAUGGCUGUCGUCAGCUCGUGUCGUGAGAUGUUGGGUUAAGUCCCGCAACGAGCGCAACCCUCACCCCUAGUUGCCACCGGGUUAAGCCGAGCACUCAAGGGGAACUGCCAGCGUCAAGCUGGAGAAAGGCGGGGAUGACGUCAAGUCAUCAUGCCCCUUACGCCCUGGGCUACACACGUGCUACAAUGGCCAGUACAAAGGGAUGCGAGACUGCGAAGUGGAGCUAAUCCCAAAAAGCUGGUCUAAGUUCAGAUUGCAGUCUGCAACUCGACUGCAUGAAGGAGGAAUCGCUAGUAAUCGCGUAUCAGCCCGGCGCGGUGAAUACGUUCCCGGGCCUUGUACACACCGCCCGUCACACCACGAAAGCUGUCUGUACUCGAAGUCGCUGAG